CACGUAGGGGGCGAGCGUUGUUCGGAUUCAUUGGGCGUAAAGGGUGCGUAGGUGGCGCGCUAAGUCAGGUGUGAAAUUUCGGAGCUUAACUCCGAAACUGCAUUUGAUACUGGCGUGCUUGAGGACUGGAGAGGAGACUGGAAUUCAUGGUGUAGCAGUGAAAUGCGUAGAGAUCAUGGAGGAAGACCAGUGGCGAAGGCGGGUCUCUGGA
rnacentral:rRNA from 1 species